rnacentral:lncRNA from 1 species
AAAAAAAAAAAAAAAAAAAAAAAGGUUAUGACGAUAGGAAGUUAAUGUAUUUAUAGGAGGUUAAAUAUGUGUUUCUAGGGUUAACGAUUUAACAUAUAGUCGGUGUAGUUGUAUAUUUUGUUCGGCCCAUAUUGGUUAAACGGAUUACACAAUGUGGCCUUUUAUUUAAACGAAAAUCAUUUAAUAUAAUUAGAUUAAAAACGGAAAAAAAACAAGAGCUCAACAAGAGCCGUGAGUCUGACACGUCAGCAAAAACACUUCUUAUAUGUAAAUUUUGUUGCGAAUAUGUAAACAUUAUCGUAUAAAAGUAAAAAUGCUAUAAUUUAAUAAAAUAACUAAUUAAUAUUCGAAUUUAAUAAAGGGUAUUUAAGUAAUCACAUAAAAGCAAGGGCUCAACAAGAGCUGUGAGGCCGACACAUCAGCAAAAACACUUCUCAAAUAUUAUUAUAUAUAGAAUUAAAAACGGAAAAAAAACAAGAGCUCAACAAGAGCCGUGAGUCUGACACGUCAGCAAAAACACUUCUUAUAUGUAAAUUUUGUUGCGAAUAUGUAAACAUUAUCGUAUAAAAGUAAAAAUGCUAUAAUUUAAUAAAAUAACUAAUUAAUAUUCGAAUUUAAUAAAAGGUAUUUAAGUAAUCACAUAAAAGCAAGGGCUCAACAAGAGCUGUGAGGCCGACACAUCAGCAAAAACACUUCUCAAAUAUUAUUAUAUAUAGAUAUAGAUCCCUUUAUUAUUAUCUUAUAUGUAUUCUUUAUAUAUAUAAAGCUUCUAUCUGCUGUUUAGUUACUAAACUAAUUGCUGGAAAAAAAAAAGUUACUAAACUAAUUAUCUUCUCGGGAGAAUUUUUUGCUUCCAAUAAUAUGACAAGGUCUCUUUGUACCUUUUGUGGUCUCAGGAGCAGCCACUGCCAAUGUCAUCAGCAAGCUUCAACCGCCCCAUAUGCAAACGGUGACGACGGAGAAAGAGCGUUCAAGCUAACACCAGCCUCCUUCUGCGUUUUUUACCUCCUAUUCGCUCUCGCAAUGAUUGGUGUCUACCUCUUCUUAUAUUUGAUUGCUAUCAUUCCCGUCAUCCAUCGAACUUGUUACCUGGAGGUCUUUGCUGACUCCUUCUCCGACUCAAACGCCUCAAACGCAAACGCAACCGCAGAUUGGAACUUCGGGUUUACAACAAGGAAUCCAGGUAACGGAUGUAAAGUCUCUCUCCACACAGUCAAAUCGCGUCUCCUCCGCGGAGAUAAGCUUCUAUCCGAGUCAUCCAUUCCUGAUUUUACUCGUAACCGGGAAAAUCAAUGAUGUACCGGUUCCUUAUGCGGUUUUCAAAACGGUUGCAACGCCCCGCAACGAAUUGGUUUGGGAUCUCCGGCUCGAAGUCGUAACUAGCGUUAAGAUAAAAGGUCGAGCCGGUCAUGGAGAUGGUUUCUUGAUCGUGACUUGCCGUGAUAUACCGGUAAAUUUUACGGCAGAUCCGGCUGGAAAUGUGAAUGGAUCGUUGAUCGGAUAUAUGAGGCCUUGUGAGUAUUUAGUCCAGAAAGAGUAUACGGACACAUCCUUUUAGACUUUCUCUCUGAUCAUGAAUCUAUCUCUUUACGAGUUUUGUCUUAAUUAGGGCUACACAUCUUUUUCUUUUUAAUUUUUGUGUUUAACUUUUUUUUUUGUUCAACAUUUUUGUGUUUUAACCCAUGUUCAAGAAAACGCUAGGCGUUAAGCGGGCGGUGACGCAACGCUUAGCGUCGACAAGAUUCAAUGUCACUCUUCUUUCACAGAAUUGGAAUAAGUAGAUUAAGACCUUUUAGAGAUUAAUGUUUCAAUUAGGCUUUCUACUUCAUCAUCUUUUAUUUUUUUCAGGUUAUCUAUAUAUUUGUAUUAAGAUUGUUUCUUCCAAAAUUUUUGUUUCUUCCAUACAAUUGUGUAAACUAUAUCUUAACUUUAUAAGCGCCUCUAACAAAGAAGAACAGAUACAACUCUAUUCUCAAAUGCUCAAUUAAUAGAGUUUCGAUAUAUAUAGUGGCUUUUAAGCAAAUAAAUAAAUACUGUCGACAACCUUUGAUCACACGGACAACAUAAUCGGCUGGUUCCCAAACCAACCGAGAUUACGAGCUUCUUUAAUAAAUAUAGGGAUAUUAAAUAAAGGAUCGUAAAUAAUUUUUACUACUGUCGAUGAUUUAGGUGAUUUCCUAAGAAAGUAAGAAGUUCCUAUUCUAGUGUUGAAAAUAAAAGUAGUUCCGAUUUUGUUCAACACAGUUUUACUCACUUUUGAUGUUUGCUUCCGUUGAGUGCUUUUUUAAUCUACUAAUUUAGACUAAUUUUGUUAUUAUUUAGUGUUAUUACUUAUUUGAUUAAUAAGCUAAGCUAGUAUUAUUAAUAUUUAUAAUUAAAGUAGAUAAACAAGGCUCCCUUAUUAGAUUUGCUUUCGAAUCAAAAUAUUCUUCAAUAUGCUAAACAAACUUAACAUAUUAGAAAAAUAUAAAGGCUAAAAUAUAUGUAAUUUUUUUUUAAAACGCCUUCAUUUAGUUACUUUUUUUUUUUGUGUGUGUAUAACAUUUUAGGUAUUCCUAUAUAAUUUGUUAUUAUCUUCUCUUUUCAUCAUGAAGUGUUAAACAUCCAAUAUGGAAAGUUCUCGAUGUACCUCUAGUGGCCUCAUUUACCAGCAUUGCAAGUCAUACCGUUACAAUUUUAUAUAUUUUGUUAACGAUGAAGAAAUGAUAGAGUUCACUUCACGAGAAGAAACACUUGCAAUAAAAUAAAAUAAGAGGAUUAAAAGAAAUCCAUUUUUUUUGUAGAAAAAGAAACAGCUAACGGAAAGCAAGAAGAGUUCCUAAUCCAAUAGCUUAGGUAUCGUGUUCUCCAACGCUUUGAAAGACGAAUGACACUUAGUCUUCUGAUAACCAAUAGUCAGAUUCUGACACCGGAUAUCGAGAUGUCCAUAUUCAUAUCCAUACGCAGGACUUUUCUUCUUCGCGCUAAGUUUCAUGUCUAAUUCGAAAACUCUUUGAUUACCCUCCUUAGCUAAAUCCACCGAGAAACUCGUGUGACCGCCACGUGAACCACGCUUGCGCGAGGUUUUCAAAACGGCGGCGUUUAAGGAGCCUAGCUUGGCGUACACGUCAUCUCCGUUGUAGUCGAUUGGACACCAUGAGCUCGGGUUCACGAGAAAAUCAACGUGCCACGUGGCGGAAGAGGAGGGGGAAACGGAGAUGGAUUCGACGGAGAAGCUGACGUGGCAGAAAAGUUUGUCGAUGUGUAACAAGAUGUUCAAAAAGGCUAAGAUUGUCAAGCCGCCGCACAAAUAGGGUUUUAAAAAUAUAGCUGAUUUCUCUUCUUUAGUGAGUUCGUUACGACGAAGGAAUAAUGAAUGCAGUUGUGUCCACCACCGUGAUGGAGGAGGAGGAUCAGUGGCGGAGGACGGUGGCGUUGGGAAUCCGGUCUCUAUUUCCAUCUGCCUGUUUGCCAUUUUUUGUUGUUUAGGGUAUGGAAUGAAUAAUGAUUUCGAUGUGACCUUAAAUCACAAUAUUUUUGAUUGAUUUUUAUAUAUUUUUUUUUUAUUUCUUAUAAGAUUUUGUAAGUAAGAUAUGAAAGUUUGUUAUGAUAUAUAGGGGAUAAUCAGAAUUGAAUAGGUAAAAUUAGUCGGAAAAAAACCCCUUCUUUUUUCUUCUUCUAGUUGCUUUUAAGAUUAUGUGAGUGUAUAUGAAAGUCUGUUAUAAUCUUUCGGGCGAAGAGGGGAAUAUUGUUACGAUAUUUGAGAAUUGAGAUACGUAAAGUAUCUCGUUACGUUGCAAUAGUUUAUUAGAAAAGCCUUUCGUUUAAUCAUCCAAACAUUUAGCUAGUUAUAUUAUCCUUAAACUAAUAACGUAUCAUCGCAUGAAAAAUUUACAAGCAAAAUGACAAGGUCUCUUUGUACUUCUUGUGGUCUCAGGAGCAGAUACUGCCAAUGUCAUCUGCAAAAUUCAACUGCCCCAAACGCAAAUGCAAACAGUGACAACGGAGAAAGAGCGUUCAAGCUUACACCAGCCUCCUUCUGCGUUUUCUACCUCCUAUACACUCUCGCAAUGUUUGGAUUCUUCCUCAUCUUAUAUAUGGGUGCAGUCUUUCCCGACUACAUCCUAAAAGGGGUUUGUAACUUGGAGGUCUUUGCUGACUCCUUCUCCAUUUCAAACGCCUCAAACGCAAACGCAACCGCUGAUUGGAACGUCGGGUUUACAACAAGGAAUCCAGGUAACGGAUGUAAAGUCUCUCUCCGCACCAUCAAAUCGCGAUUGCUCCGCGGAAACAAGCUUCUCUCCGAGUCAUCCACUCCUGAUUAUUUCGGUUUACUGGUAACCGGAAAACUCAAUGAUGUACCGGUUCCUUAUGCGGUUUUCAAAACGGUUGCAACGCCCCGCAAAGGCGUGGUUUGGGAUAUCCGUGUCGAAGUCGUAACUAGCGUUAAGAUAAACGGUCGAGCCGGUCAUGGAGAUGGUUUCUUGAUCGUGACUUGCCGCGAUAUACCGGUAAAUUUCACGGCAGAUCCGACUGGAAAUGUGAAUGGAUCGUUGAUCGGAUAUAUGAGGCCGUGUGAGUAUUUAGUUCAGGAGGAGUAUACGGACCCAUCCUUUUAGAGUUUCUCUUCGAUCAUGCAUCUAUCUCUCUCUCUUUUACAAGUGCUUGGCGUUAGGGUUAGUGAAUUUGUUUCUUUCUUUCUAAAACAUUUUAAAUGUUAUUCAAUAAUAAGAUAGCUAGGAGUCUAGGACUAUCACAGAUCAUUAUAUUGUAGCUAUUUUUUAUUGCCAAUGGACAAAUCCAUAUAAUUGUGCGAUCUAUAAUUUCAUUUAUAUAUUUCAAUAAAUUGGCUUAAUGUAUAUUGACGAAUGCAUGUACAUGAGAUUAUAUAAACAAGGGCUGGAGAAUUAAGUAGCUACUGGUGAAAUAUUAUAUUUGCUACGUUUUAGUGAGGGAUGUGGGGAGAUUAGAAGGAUUCAUAUCUUGCCAUCUAUGUUUUGAGAUUUUAAAGUUAGUACCACACAAACUAUGAAUAAAUAUUUAUCUUGCUCAAAGUUUGAUAAAGACUAAGAAAAGGUUUUCAAAAUUUCACACGAUAACCCAAAUUCUAAAGUGAUUUAAAGUAUAUAACUUAACUCUGCUAAGUUUUAUUAAAUUUCAGAAAUUCACAUUCUAAAUAAAGGAAAAUUAUAAAAGAAACUAAAAAAGAGAAAUUUAAAAUUUUAAGACUUUUCAUAGUAUUCAGAAGUCACAAAAACAUAUAGUAAAAAUAAUCGACAUGCCUCAUUAGCUAUUCAACUUAUAUAAAAUUUCUAAUCAAAUUUAUAUGCUUGAAAAAUACAUGCAUUAAAACUAGAUCAUAACCCGUGCUGGAACAGCACGGAUGAAAUUUUAAUUUUUAAAUAUUUAUAUAAAGUUGGAUUAUUGUUUGUUUUAUAGUACAAUUUUAAUAAUUCUUUACAUAAUACAAUGACAUAUAAGGAUUUUUUAUUUUAUUUUGUUUGAUGAAAAAAUAUUAGGGGUGGGGUACGGUUUUUCGGUUUAGUAUCGUUUUUUUCGUUUUGUAGAAAGUGAAACCAUAUAGAAACCGUAUGUAAUUCGGUUUAGUUAUAGUUCGAUUUUUACGGUUUUUUACGUUUUUUGGUUAAAAAUAAAACGUAUGUAUUUGAUAUAUGCUAGUAGUAAGUGAAAAAAAUUGCUUAUAUAAUAAACAUAUUUUGGUAUAUAAUAAGAUUAAAUUCAACCCGUGCAUACCUAUAUUUUUAUUUUAGAAUCCCAAUUAAAAAAUUGUGUGCACAAUCCAUCAUUCAUUAUUUUCAUAUAUACUUAUAGAAUCAAAAUUUUAAAUAUUUAGAGGUGUCAAACUUUAUUUAAGUCAUCUCAUCAUAUAAUCUUAACAUGGUUUCGGUUAUAAAGAUCAUAACUCUUUUUAUCAUAUAAUACAUUACAUUUAACAUGCUACUUGGCGUUUGCUAUAAAUAUUUUAAAUAUUUAUGCUUUGAAAAAUGAAAUUAGAGUAUUAUUUUUUUUUAUUGUAGAAUAUAAAAUUAAGAAUUUUUUAAAAUAAUUGUAUGAACUUAAAUAUAAAUAUUCAAAUAGUUAUAAGGAUCAUAACUCAUUUCAUUAUAUUUAACCCACCGUCUAUUAUAAAUAUUUUUUAAAUAUAUAUGUUUUAAGAAAACCAAAUUAGUGUAUGUAUAAUUUUUUAUUUUUUUAUUUAUUAAGUAUUGAUGAAAUUUGUUUUUAAAUAUCAAGUAAAACUAUUUUUAAAUAUUCCAAAUUAAAAUAUUUAAAAUUUUAUCGUAGUAUAUAAAAUUAUAUAUUUUAAAAAAAUAUAUGAAAUUGAAUAUAAUUACUCAAAUUCUGACCCGUUAUUCAGGCGGAAUUUUUGUUGAAUUUAUUUUUGUUCAAAAGAAAUAUAUUAUCCAAGUCUAAAUUUUUGACUCGUUAAAUUUUUUUUUCCAUAAAUUGAAUAAUUUAUAUUCGUUUUUAUAAAUUCAAAUUAUGGCAUAUGCGGAAAAAAAAUCUAUUUUUUAUUAUUAUAUAGAUGAUAUGAUGAUUUAUUUGUUUCACAAUAAUAGAAUCAUAUAAAGAUGAGAGGUGAAAUAUAAUGAUUAAUGACAAAUUAAUAAGGUAAGUUAGAUAUCAAAUCUUAUAUAUUCAUUUUGAUGGGUCAUUUAAAAAUAAUAAUAAUGUAUUUUUCAUUUUUAUAAUUAAAUUAAUUUAAUUAAAUUGUAUAAAUUGACUUGUUUAUCCUUAAUAAGAUGUAUUAAUUUACUCUUUGAAAUUUUAUCUCUAAUGACAUUCUUAAGUAAAUUUUUACAAAAAGAAAGGUUAGUUAAAUGUAUCUUAUAAAGUGUACUCCCCAAAUAAUAGUAAAGGAUUAACAUCAUGCAUGCAAUAUGGGGCUGAAUUCUAGAAGAUAUAUUAUCUUAUAGAUAUGAAAAUGAUUUUUUUUUCAUCCAACUGAUUUAUCAUAUAAUUAAUUUCUUGAUUGUGUUCGUAAAAAAAUAAUAUCCCCGAAAUAUCAUAACAAACUUUUUAUCAACACAUCAAAUUUUAAAGAAGGGAAAGAAAUGUGAGAUGAGUGAUAAUGAACGAUUAGGUUAACAUCAAACAUUUCUUUCCACUUCUAACCAAUACACGCAAAAGAAAAAGAGAGAACAAAAAUCAAAAUGGCUUCCCAAACCGUGCCAGAAGUUGUGAUCAGAUAUCCAAUGCCACCGUCCUCGGACACUCCUCCUCCUCGUGGAUGGUGGUCACGACCAAUAGUGACUUUGCCGGCACUGCAUGAUCGUGAGGCCACUUGCACGGACUUCACCGCUUUUUUUACACCCUGUUGCGGCGGUAUAUUCACCGUCAUCGCCGUACUCGUUUUUAUCACUCACGUCAUCGAUAAUACUCACUGCGACGCCAAAUUCUCCAUCCAAUCCAUCGCCGUAUCUCCAUCCUCUGCCACAUGGCACGUUGAUUUUCUUGUCAAAAACCCUAGCCCUAGGUAUUCGUCCAACGAACAUUAAUUAUAUCUUGUUCCCAUGUUUUUGUCAUAUUUAUCCGAUGCUCGAAGCAAUGACAUCUUUUUGUCUAUGUUCUGGACCGGGUCUUGCAGAUAUACUAUCUACUACGGAGGCGAUGAAACCGCGGCGAGGCUCGGUCCCUUAAACGCUGCCGUUUUAAAUGCUUCUCACGAACGUAAGUCUCGAAGUCACACGGCUUUCUCAGUGGAUUUCGCUGCCGAGGGUAAUCCAAACAACGAAUUUUCCAAACAAUUAGAUAUCAAAUUGAGCGCUAAACUAACGAGUUACGGAGAAGAUGAUCCUAGAGCUGGACAUGUUGAUGUAAGGUGUUAUAAUCUGACCCGAAACCAUGAGAACGUCGAGAAGAUUCAAUGUUACACUACUUUCACAAAAUUGCCAGAAGCAGUAGAAUAUUAAGACGUUUUAAAAAUAGUUCAAAUUAGGCUUUCUACUUUUUUCCAUAAUCUUCUUGUUUUAUUUUCUGUUAUUAUAUUAAGACCUUUUUUCUUCCACACAAUUGUGUAAACUAUAUUAUUCCUUUAUAAGCGCCUUUAAGAAAAGAGAAAGAGAUCAGAACUCCACUUUCAAAUGCUCGAUUUAUAAGUUUCGAUAAAUAGUGAGAACUCAAUUAUAUUUAAAAAAAAAAAAAGCAAAAAAAAAAAAACUGUAAAAAACAUAAAUUAUCGCUUUUUAAUAAAAUUAAAAAGUACUGUUGAGUGUUGACAUCAUAUGUGAUUCCUAACUAGUUCCGAUAUCAGUGUUAAAACUAAAAUUAAAGUAGUUCCGAUUUCCUUUAACAGUAUUUGUUAUCUAAUAGUACUAAUUUAUACUUUCCCUAGAAUUCCGAUAGAUAUCCCUUAAUUAGAUUUGCUUUCGAAGCAAAAUAUUAAAAAAAAACUUUUAAUUUAUUUAUCAUGUAGUUCUAUAUAAGUAGAAGUUAUUUUUCCAUCAGGAAGUGUUAAAACUUCCAUAAUGUCAAAUUCUCAAUGUACCUCUUGUGGCCGCAUGCACCAAAGUGGCCAAUGUCACAUACAAAAUUCAACCACCCCUUUCAGCCAGCCCAUCGAUGUUACUCCAGCUUGCUGCUGCAAUUGUUACCUUUACACCAUUUGUUUCUCCAUCGUUAUUAUACUCUUUUCUAUAGGGCUUUCGAUGAUUCCGUCUUUAAGAGGUUAUUGUUACGUGGAGCUUUUUGCCAAUUCCAUCUCCGUCUCAAACGCGAAUGCAAAUGCAAAUGUUUCAGUCGCUGAUUGGACGAUCGGUUUUGCCGCAAGAAGUCCAAUCACUAACUGCAAAAUGUCUUUUCAAACACUCAAGUCUCGUUUGCUCCGUGGCGACCAAGUUAUUUCCAAUUCAUUACCUCCUAUGUCCGAAUAUAUCGGACAAUUUGUGGCCGGAGACAUGGCAAAUGUCGUUUUCGAGAAGGUGGUGAUGCCAGAAGUUAUUGGCGAUGUUAUUUGGGAUUUUCGGGUUGAGGUUAAGUAUGCAAUGCACAUAAAUGCUGGAGAUGUGACCGUUUUAGUAAUGGCGGUCUGUCCCGAUAUUCCGGUUAAAUUCACGACGGAUUCGGCCGGAAAUAUGAUGGGAUCGUUGCUUGGAAAUAUGAGACGGUGUGAUUAUAUAAUCCAGGAUCAGUUGCUUAAUCCUCUCCGAUCAUGAUGAAUCUAGUUAUGAUCUCUAUUUUUUUGGCUUUAGGUUAAUUUUAUUUUUGGCAACAUUAUUUUUUGUUUUACUUUAUUAGUUAGAUUUGAUCAAAUAAGAUAGGAUAUUAAGUAAUUAAGAACAUGGUUAUAAUCUAAUCAUCACAUCCCUUUUCUUUUCUGCCAAAGUUUUAAAUAGUCUAUAAUAAUUUGUUGAUGCUGAGAGUCUGAGAUCCAACAAAGUAUUUUUUGUAGUUAUUUAUCACGAUCGGAGUUCGGCAAUUACAAGACAUGGUUUUACAAUGCCGAGUAUUUUAAAAAAAUCUGUGUGAUCUUGUUUUACAAUUAAGGGUUCUCUUUUGUCUAUAUGUGAAUUUUUCUUUUUGCCUCUCCAAAUCGACGUUGAUCUGUUGGGCUGAACAGAAUAAUGGGCCGAGAUGAUUUAUCUUGUAGUUAGAGACAUCAAUGAUAAACCGCUUCCUUAUGCCGUUUUCAAAACGGUUGCAACGCCUAGCGACCGCGUGGUUUGGGAUCUCGAGGUUGAGGUUGUAUCUAGCGUUAAGAUAGACGGUUGAUCGGCCUGGGCGUUCGGGUAUUCGGUUCGGUUCUAGAACCAAACAUUUCGGUUCCUAGUAUUUUGGUUCUGAGAUUUAGGAACCAUAUUGGAACCAAAUCAAAAUCGGGUCGGUUCUGGUUCGGUUCCUAUUCGGGUCGGUUCUGGUUCGGUUCGGUUCCUAUUUGGUUCGGUUUGGUUCGGAUAAUAAAUUUUGGAACCGAGUAGGAACCAAAUUGUUUCGGAUAUUUUUGGAACCGAAAAUAAUAAUAGAAUCAUAAUGCAAAAUUCAAAUGCAAUUAUGUUAGUAUGCAAUACAACAUCACAUAUUAGUCAUUAUACCAUUACAAAUCCAAAAAAUAGUUGAAACUUGGAAAGUAUUAAGUCAAAAGACACUCAAAAUUUUAAAGAUACCACAAAACACAAGAGAGAGUUUUUGUCUGCUCUGUCUUUGAGAAAGAGAUAACAAAGUAGGAUUUUUAGGUUUAGGCGCAAAGAGGAAUAUAUAAGAGGCUAAGAAAGACUUUGGGUUAGGUUUAUGGUGGGCUAUUGGGCUUGGAUAGUUAGGUUUAGGAUUUGAUGGGUUUGAAACUUUGGGUUAUAUAAAUAUAGGUUAAUGGGCUAUAUUUCGGGUACCGAAUGGAUAUCGGUUCCUACCCAAACCGAACCGAUAUCCAUGGAUAUUUGAUUCAAGAUCCAAUCGAUAUUUUCACUAGAACCGGAACCGAACCGAACCCAUCAAUUUCGGUUCGGUUCGGUUCGGUUCUAUGUGGAUCCAUAUUUUUGCCCAGGCCUUGAUCCCAUCACAAAGAUGGUUUCUUGAUCUUGACUUGCGGCAAUAUACCGGUGAAUUUCACGGCAGAUCCGGCUGGAAAUGUGAAGGGAACGUUGCUCGGAUAUAUGAGGCCGUGUGAGUAGUAUUUAUUCCGGGAGGAGUUUCCACUCUCAUACUUUUAGUUUUUCUCUCUGAUUAUGAAUCUUUCUCUUUUACGAGUACUUACCUUUAGGGUUAGUGAAUUUUGUUUUCUUCGUUUUCAAUUUUUUUUUUUAAAAAGUUGAAAAUAAGAAAUGAUUAAGCGCUUUGUUAGUAACUCUUUUCUAUGCUUAAGGGUCUCCGCAAUCACAUGCUCAACGAUGGGUGCAAAUUUGUUUUCAAGCUAGAGGUUUUUUGAGUUAAGUAGAACUAAUGAUGGAACCAAAUAUAGUAACCAAGACGGAGAACAUCUUUUUUUGUACAAAGUACAAACUGCUUGAGAACCGUCUCUUGAUAUAUUUACCAACCUUAACAAUAUUUUGUAUGCAGAAGACAAGCGGGCUAUAUAUUACCGAAGAGUUAGGAUUACCAAUAUCAGUAUUGGACAUUUAAUGGUUAUAACUUAAACCCAGCUAAUCAUUUUUUAUAGAAACUAAAGAUUAUUGUUUAAAUUAUAUUUGAAUAUUAUUUUACAUAUAUUAAAAAAUUAAUAUUAUUGAAAGGGCCACAAUUUUUUAUUCAGACCGUCAUUUCCAUUUGGUCGGCCCAUAUAUGUUAUCUGAAUGUGAUAUACAAACUUAUUUAUUUCUAAAUUUCUAAAAAUAAAAAACGAUAUGCGUAGCUGCAUAAAGAAGAUUCGUCGUCUCCUCCAAAGUACUUUUCGUGGUAAUUAUUAAUUAAUACCAAAAACUGUGAAUUUCUUUUUUUUAUCUUCCAUCAGAGUUGAUCAGGACUAAAAACAGCUUUUCCUAAUUUCGCUUAAAGUUAAAAAGAAGCCCAUUGAAAAAAUUAAAGAAAGUGUCGCAAGAGUCAAGACUAUGGUUGUGUGAUAAUUUAAUAAUAUGGUUACAAAUAGAAACAUAGGAUUAAUUAAUAAUUAUGAUACAUUUACUCACGAGGCUCCAUUUACAUAAAUAUCCCUCAAAACUCCAUUACUAACCUUCCAAUUUCUUCACACACCAAACAAACAAAUCUCUCUGCAUCAUCCAAACGCAAACAAACUCUACAAUGACGGGGAGAGACUGCAACCAACACUACGACUAUGAGGAGAGGAGGAUGAGACGCAUAGUAUGGGGGGGAUUGCUUGGCCUAAUCGUGGCGGUUGCGUUCGUGGUGUUCUUGGUUUGGGCUAUACUUCACCCGCACGGACCGCGUUUUGUCCUCCAAGACGUAACCAUUAACGACUUCAACAUUUCUCAGCCAAAUUUCCUCUCUUCAAAUCUUCAGGUCACUCUCUCUUCUCGCAACCCAAACGACAAGAUCGGAAUUUUCUAUGACCGUCUCGACAUCUAUGCCACAUACAGAAACCAAGAGGUAGCAUUUUGCGAUAUUUGCUAUCUUCUUUUGUAUUAUUUGGUGCAAUGUAUGUAUGGAUCAGCUAAUUUUAGUAUGUUUUAACGUUAAAGUCACAAAACAUCACCCAUCUUUACAUAUGUCUAAGAAUUUCUUAGAAUCAAUUCGAUUUCACAAUUUUUUUCCUGUUAAAUUUAAUAUUUAUCAUCAUUUUGUAUUUAUAAUAACAAAUCUGCAAUGUUGAAAAACCAAUACCAACGAACAAUACCAACAUAUGCAUAUUUGUGUACCACUUGCAGAAUUAAUUUUCUUUUCUUUUCUUCAUCUUCUUAAAAUGUCAUCCUUUAUUCACGAAUAAUUAUAGAAUAUUUACAAGAAUAGAAGGCUCUAGAGUACUUACUGUUAAGGGAAAUAGAAAUUUGGCAGAAGCUAUUAAAGUUGAAAUACAAGAAAAAAUAAAGUCUUUUAUAAUAUGUUUACAGUUUCUAAAAUGUUUUAAAAGACUUUAAAACAUUUAUAAGGUUUUGAUUUUCUUCUUCUAAGCAUUUACGUAUUAAUGUAUUAAUUCUAACUUUAUUUUUUCCUAUUAAUUAGGUGACGGUGGCGAGGCUAUUGCCGUCGACGUAUCAAGGACAUCUGGAAGCGACGGUGUGGUCACCGUUUCUGAUUGGCUCCAACGUGCCGGUGGCUCCUUACCUGUCUCCGGCGUUGAACGAAGAUUUAAUCGCCGGGAUGGUGCUUCUCAACAUCAAGAUAGACGGUUGGGUUAGGUGGAAAGUGGGCUCGUGGGUCUCUGGCGGUUAUCACCUCCACGUUAACUGUCCGGCGUUCAUUACCGUCACCGGAAAGUUAGUCGGCGCCGGUCCGGCGAUCAAGUACCAGCUUGUUCAGCGAUGUGCUGUUGACCUAUCUUGAAGAGUCUUUUUUUUCCUAAGGAAUAAAAUGAUAUAAAAGGUAAAUUAGAGAAAAUUGUUGUUGAUUUGGCUUGUUAAUUAAUUUUUCUAAAGGCUGUUAAAAACUUAAAAGAACAAAACGCUAAUUAAACCUUUUCUUUUAGCAUAUAGUAAGUUCACAUCAUCACAUGUAUUCCUUUUUAUUAAUAUAGUUUUUUAGUAGUAAAUAAUUUUUAAUUAAUUAGACAAACGUAUGAUAAACAAAGAUCCUUAUUUAGUUAAUACUCAUGUUAAAUUUCUAUGGGUUUUAGCGUAUUGAUAAUAUAGAUAUAAUUUAACCCAUGAAUGUAAUUAAUUAGUUGACAUUUUUAGUACUCUGCAGUCUGCAAACGAAAUUGUCAGGAUUAGGCAAAGCUUACAAGAGUGGUUUUAUUUUCUAGUUGGAUAUAUGACUCACAUGACAACGACUAUGCAGCUGCUGGUCUUUAUGGAAUGAAAUAUUUAAAUAUAAAACACCCCAAAAGUAUAUUUUAAAAUUAGCUAACUAGAGUUUAUACUUAUUGUUAAAAAUAGUUUCAUAUGUUUUUGGAUUAGAAAAUUCUGAAAAUGUACUAGAAGAUAUUUUCGGAUCAUAUAUCAUGGGGACAUGACAAAAUCAUAUAUACACAGUUCACUUUGUACUAAACAUCAGUUCCUUUUGUUGCUAUUGGUUUGUUGGCCUGUUGCCUAUUGGGCACUAAAUAUUUAGCUUCAAAGACUUUUUGUCAUAUGAACUUGAAUGCGGACUUCCCGAGUAAAUUAAUUUCUUCUCAGAAUUGUUUUCUUAUAGAUAGCUUUAGCUUUAAAAAUGAUUAUCCUAGUUUCUCUUAUAAUUUGCAGACAUUAUUAGUUUUUUUUUUUUAAAUGUAGUGAGCUAUAACAAGGAGCUGAUUUGUAAGAACUUUAAAGACUUUAACUUAUUUUAAAAGUAUGAUAUUGUGUAAUAAAAAAAAUGAUACUAUGUAACAGAUGACUUAAUAAUACAUGUGAGUUGUGAAAUCAUCGUCAUGUUGGUGACGAGUGACGACAUUUGCACGCCUUACGGUGUAUGUAGCGUGAAGCACAAUAAUCCUUUUCUUUUCUUUAGAGUUUAGACAUAUAUCAUCAAUUUCUUUUCAUAAAAUACAAAUACAAAAACUAACUUCAACUUGAUAACGUGAGAGAAAAGAAAAACACUUUUUUCCCACCUUUAGAACUUUUUGUUAUUUUAUAAAAGUUUGGUUUUACAUAUUCUGAAAGCAAAAAAGAAAAAUUGAUAACUACUUUAGCGAAUAUUCGUCAAUAAACUUUGUUACUUUGCAACUAAACCCACACUUGUCUGUAGAGUGUAGUUCACUUUUUUGUGCGUUUGUUGCUAUGUAUCCACGUUUAAACCAUAACAGUUGGCCCAAAACCAAAACGUGAAAGCUAAUGGGCUUUUUAUGUUGUUACUGGGCUUAGCCCAAAAAUGACAUACAGCCACAGAUACGACACCGGUUUUGUUUGGACUGGAGAAGAUUCACUGCAAAGCGCUCUCUAGUGUCUGGUCAGAAAUUCUUUUUCAACUCACUUUCGGUUUCUGAUGUUUUGUCUCUCUGAUUGAAAAUAGGUAAAACUCUCUAAAUCUAUAUUAAAGCGCUACGCUUAAUUUUCUGGCUAGGUUCUUACCUGAUUAUUUUUGGUAUAUAGUGAUGAUAGAAAUUGAAGUAUUUUUUUCCAAUUUCCUCAAUGCUUUGGGGCUUUUAGUAUUCAUGAAUGAUUUGAUUUCUAUAAGAGAAAUUAUGGGUUUCAGAAGACGAGAUUUUUCUAGAAACUUAAGAUUUUUUCCUGAUGAUAUCGUUAAUUACAAGAUAUUAAUCAUAUUAUCAUGUUCAGUGUUCACCAUCUUGAAGAAUUGACUUGAAUUCGUCGUGAUGUCUGAUCUUGAGACAAUGCUUUGUCCUUGAGGUUCUUAUGAUUUUUCUGACAUAUUGGAACAAGAUAGGCUAUUGAUGCUUAUGUCAUUGUAAAAUGGAUGCUGAAUUGAUUUACAUAGGUUGGUUUGUCAAUAUAGGUUUAUGAAAGGCCUUGAUGGUCCCAAGGGUGAUACUUGUAUAGUUUCUGUAGAAACUCUUUAGUCUCUCCUUUUGCAGAUGUUUAUAAUGUUGUGUUAUCGGAGGUUGUACAUUUGCAACAUCAGUGUGAAUGUGUCUUAAAAUUGUAGAUUGUGUUAAGCUUAGGGUUAUGAAUAUAGCAAAUUUAUCUUGCAGAAUAGAUGAUUUAUCUUCAUGGAGCUGGAUUAUGUGAUCUUCAGUGUUUUCAAUUCUUUAUGCAGGAAUUAUCGGGGUUUCCCAAGAUGGGAAACAAAGCUACAACGGUGAAAGAAGAACGGGAAGAGAUCCACUUGAAGAUUGUACCUCCAUUGGACAAAGUUUUUCUACGUUGGCUCGCGAGAGAUCUACAAAGAUUUCAUGGAUUCAAACCGAAGAACAACACUAGUGCGAUCACUCCUCCAGAUAGCUACAUCGAGUUUAUGCGGUUAAAUGGAUCGCUUGAUGUGGAUUUAGAUGACCCUGAUCUUGCCCAUUUGUUCAAGUAAAAAAGUUCUAUUGGUGUCUGUGUUUGUUUUGUAUGAAGCCUUCCAAAGUCUUAGUAACUCUUUUGAUUACUCAUACUUAAGCUUGUGUUUUGGAAACUCUCUAUAAAUAUAUAUUUAAUCUUCUCUAACAGUAUAGCAUUCAAAUGAGAUCCAAGUGUCUGCAUUUUGAUGACACAUGUUUCUAUUGUCUUGGUGCUAUGAUUCGGAAUCCCUAGGUUUCGAGGUUCCAAAAUAAAGUGGUUAAAUCAUGCGACACUCAUGAACAUAAUUUUUCUUAGGGUUUAACUGGAUUUUAUUGAGACAAAACAUAAAUUGCUUUAUAAUGCUCAAAUUUAUUGAGGUUUUUUUUUGUCAAUGUCCUAUUUUCAUUUUUAUAUUUUUGGCCCUUCUACGAAUAUUAAAAAAUAAAAACGUAUUAUGUUCGACAGAUUUUGACGAUAAUUGCUCACGCUUUAACGCGUGUAACGGAUGCAACAGUUGAUGGAAUUAUCAAUUAUGCUCCAAUUCUUAACAUGAAUAAAUCCAAAAUUCACAUUUUUUUUUCCCUCCUCAAUCUCAAGGAAAUAAAACUGUAUCCAAAUUAGUUACAUUGCUUUAUUAACUUCGUUGACUUAUUUAUUUAUUUGAUAAACAGAUAUAAUAAUAUAUAUUUUUAAUAUAGAUAGGAUUAUAAUUUAGUUGAGAUAUUGGUAAAAGAUUGUGUACAAGAGAAAGCGCUAAUUCCCUCCACAUCAAUAUCUGAACCAAACGCAACUCAUUCCCUCGUUUUCUCUCUUUCUCUUCCACCGUCUCUUUUUUUUUUUUUUUAUCCUUCUUCUUCUUCUUCUCCUCUCCCGCUUUUUUUCGAUUCGCCGAUCUCUUCACAUUCUCUCCCCGGAAUCUCCGUAAUUCUCGCCGUAGAUCUGCUUCCUAAUCCCUAUUAGGAUCUCUGCUUACCGGAGAUCCGAAUUCCCGGACAAUCUCCGCCGUUUCUUUUUUUUUUUGGGGGAUUUUUAUCGAGAUUCGUUCUCAUGUCUGAAGAACCUCCACAAUUUCCACCUUCUAAGCGGCAGCUUCAUCCUUCUCUGUCGUCUAUGAAACCUCCGUUAGUUGCUCCCGGCGAGUAUCACCGGUUUGAUGCGGCGGGAGGUGGAGCUGCUGAUCAGGUUGUCGUCUCUGAUGCGAUUGUUAUUAAAUCUACUGUAAGUCUUUUUUUUUGUUUUCUUCUCAAUUUUGCUUUUAUAAUUCUCGUGUUUCGAUUGUGUGUGAGGCUUUGAUUAUAUUGAUUUAGAUUUUGAGGAUGUCGUAGCUUUAGAUUUUGAUGAGAGUUGCGUCGGGAUCUGUUUCCGGUGGUGUUAAUUGCGUUUGGUCUCCUUUGAUUUGGCUCGUUUGCAGUGUAGGAUUUAGCAUUGCAAGUUAAUAUUGACAGUUUAGUUGCUGAACUUAGGGUUUGUGGUGUUACUGUUAUUGCUAUUUAGAGCAGAUUUAUCCUUUUUUUUUUUUUUUUUUUUUUUUUGCUUAUGUUUAGUUAAUUUACUGAAUUUAGCUAUGUUGGACUUUUGGAAUUUGAAGUUUUGUCUAUGUUUUUAGAUUUCAGCCUAGUGACAGUAUGAUGCUAAUUGGAUAAGAUUCUGUUCAAUUCUUUGAUGUAUUUAACUGUUCAAUUCUGGUGACUUUAUUGGCAGCUGAAGCGUAAGACAGAUUCGGUUAACGAAAUAGCUGAGCCCAAUGAAUUGAAUACUGGUGUUCUUCAAACACCUGUAUCAGGGAAAGGAGGGAAGGCCAAGAAAACUUCUAGGUCAGUGAAGUCUAAUAAGUCUGGAACGCAAGCUUCUGGUUCUAAUGCAGGUGAGUUUGGUCUUGAAUGCUCUGUGUUUACUUUCUAUCUACAUGGUCGACUGUUACUUACGUACUUAUCUGUUCUAAACCUUAUUUAUUCGUUUAAUUGCAAUGAAAGAAAGAGUGGGAGUUAUUGCAAUGUAGUAUGAAGGAUCUUUUGUGUUGGCAGGUUCUCCUGGAAAUAACUUUGCACAGGCUGGUACUUGUCGAUAUGAUAGUUCGCUAGGUAAUAACUUCUUUCACAAACUAAUGUUCAAAGAAAUGUUCUUUUGGAUAAUAAGUUUUUAUUUAUAAUGAUUUAAUCUGCUUCAGGUCUUUUGACUAAGAAGUUUAUCAAUUUGAUAAAACAAGCAGAGGAUGGUAUUCUUGAUCUAAACAAAGCAGCUGAUACUUUAGAGGUGACAUAUUUAAAAUCUAGACUGUCUUCUUGAUGUAGUACUUUCUGUCAUAUCUUAACUGGCGUGUUCCUGUUGAUGUUGCAGGUACAAAAGAGACGGAUAUAUGAUAUAACCAAUGUGUUAGAAGGAAUUGGUUUGAUAGAGAAGACGCUCAAGAACAGAAUUCAGUGGAAGUAAGCAUGUCUUCCAACUGUCAAAUCUUGGAUUCCUUCCAUUUGAUGCCUCAUGUGUGAGUGACGGUACUCUGAAUUUUCUUGUCUUUCUUAGGGGUCUCGAUGUCUCAAAACCAGGAGAAACAAUCGAAAACAUAGCUAACCUACAGGUACAGAACAUGCUUAUGUAUAUUCAUUUACCUUUCAAUCACACAUUUCACUGCAAAUUCUGUUAUGCAAUGCUCAGUAUUAUCACCAGUUUCAUUAUUAUUUUUACGUUUAGGGUAUAUGCUAGCUUACAUUGUCUUCUUGAACAUCGUAUGAAUCUGCAUUAGUAUUGUUCUUGUUAUACCUGUUUUCUGAGACCUAAAUGUGUUAGGGGGUAACUAGGAUACUAGAAAAUAUACCACAAACACAAACAUCAAUGACAUGUAAGCACAAGCUCUGCUUGUACACCCCUACUAGAACACUUGAAUGAUUAAAUUUUUGUUUAAUGUUUCAACCUGUUGAUAAAGUGGAUAAUUGGUUACUGCAAUUUUUCUUCGAUCUCAGUCACUUGCAUUGAUUUCUUGUUUUGGGUUUUUGGUUCGGAAAAACUAUUUGUGUUUUAUAAAUUCCUGUUACCAAUUUUACAUUUUAGUAACUCUCAAUCCUUUUACAGGAUGAAGUACUAAACCUCACAGCUGAGGAGGCAAGAUUAGAUGACCAAAUCAGGUAUUCUCGUAGAUCAUUUUUCUUUCCUUUUCUGCUGUUUUGUAUCUUGUUGAGAAUCGACCUGGUUGCAGAGAAUCACAAGAAAGAUUAACAAGCUUGAGUGAGGAUGAAAACAACAAAAGGUAAGCUUCUCCUGCUAAUUUCUUUUUGCGAAAGGUACAAUAGAACAUAUCUGUUUGUUCUGACGCCCCUCUUUUUUAGGUUACUGUUUGUCACUGAAAACGACAUUAAGAACCUACCAUGCUUCCAGGUUUGGUCCUAUUAGUAAUUACGUGUUUCUCUUUGCCUUGCAUUCUUCUCACUAAGGAAACAAUGUUUUUGUGGCGUGUCUCAUACCUAUUUUUAGAAUAAGACGCUGAUAGCUGUAAAGGCACCGCAUGGAACAACUCUUGAGGUGCCAGAUCCUGAUGAGGUAAGCUUAAGAACACACAACACCAAAUGAGCGAUGCACUGUCUAUAACUAUUUCUAUCUCUUAUCCUGCCAUUAAUCAGGCUGGUGGUUAUCAGAGAAGAUACAGAAUCAUUCUGAGAAGCACAAUGGGACCAAUAGACGUGUACCUAGUCAGGUAACCCUGUCCUCAAACGUUAUGCUUGCCAUUGAUAAAUUUGUAACAUGAAAGCGAGACUGACAUUUAUAUUGUGCGUUUUUAGUCAAUUCGAAGAGAGCUUUGAGGACAUUCCUCACACUGAUGAACCUUCAAAUGUUCCUGAUGAACCUUCAAACCUUCCAUCAACAUCUGGUCUUCCUGAGAACCAUGAUGUAGCAAUGCCAAUGGAAGAGGACAGCACCGAAAGGAACAUGGAAACACAGGAACUUGAUGAUACGCAAAGAGUUUACUCUGAUAUCGAAUCUCAUGACUUUGUCGAUGGUAUCAUGAAGAUUGUUCCUCCAGAUUUGGAUGUAAGUCCCAACUGCUUCCUCAGCUUUAAAUUAUUUUCACCAUAUACAUAAUCACAGUCCAGAAACUUCAGAAAGCAACAAGGAUCAUAUCUUGAAAAUCAUGCUUGACUUAAUUCAUUAUUUACCUAUAUGUUACAUUAUAUACAGCUCGGUGUAGAUUACUGGUUUCGAUCAGAGGUCGGCGAAGUCAGCAUCACAGACAUGUGGCCAGAUGAAUGUAUCCUUGAUUUCUGUCACUUUCUCUGAUCUAAUCUAAUCUAAUCUAAUCUCUCUUUGAGCUUUCGAGUUUUUUCCUCCCCAAUUAGAGCUCCUUAACUCUUUCAUCAUUAGCUGGACCGGACUGGAACCAGAUGAUUACAUUUGAUCAAGACCACGCUGGACCGAGCGACACAGCCUUGGAGCAGCCAAAAACUCCAUCGAGCCCAACACCAGAAGAUUCCACUGCUACGAGAUCAUCUACAGGUAGCUGAAGUUACCAUACCACAUUACAAGUACCACCAUAUAUCUGUACAUAGAGAAUCUGAUUUCAGUGAAUCGAGAGUUCAUGUUGUACUUGUACAGUAGCUGCAUUGCGUUAUCAUAGGAUAGAGAUUGAAAAAUAAAAGUAGAGAAACCAACCACCUCGUUGUAUUCUUCAUUUUUUUUUCUUAGCUUCUCAGGCUUAUAUAGAAUUAGCCUUAACCCAUUGAUUUCUUAGUAUUGGUCUUGUUCAUGUGAAAGUGCAAAACCUUUUAGAUUUCUUUCAGUCGGGUUUACUAAAUGGUUACGGAAUCGAAAUCAAAUUAUAUUUCGGUAGUUUUAUAAUUUCAGUUAAAUUAGUAUUUUGCUUAAUUUUGUUUCGGUUUUCGAGAUUUUAGUUAUGUUUUAGUCAAAAAAAAUUUGGUUUAUUAAGUUUUGAAUUCUGAUUCAAAUUGGUUUUCACUUUUCAGUAUAAACCUAUUAUUAAUUGGUUUGGUUUGGUUUGAGUGAUUUCAUUUUUGGUUGGAAUUGGUUUCUAUGUCCAGUCCCUGAUAAUGACGCACAAUAUAACUUUGAAUUUACCUCAAGAUGGAAUUAUUUUUCUUAGAAAAAGAGAAAUCCAUCAAAAUUGUGCAUCUCCAAAGCAAUGAGCAAUGCUGAAUCUCCAAGCGAAGUUAAAAGAAAAAAGGUUCCUCUAUUAACAAACUUUCCCACACCAACAUCCUCACUCAAUAAUCUCAACUUGUUUUUUCUUCCCUUUUGGUAAAAAAAUGCAUUUGAAGAAGAAGAUGAAGAAUGCACUCAAAACCAUAUUUAGUCCAAUUUUUAUGGCGUGUGGUUGUUGCGGUUGCGGCUCUACCGUUCUGCCUUCCUCUCACAACCACUACUACACCCCGGGACCACCGGUUUCUCCCACGGUUUUACGCAGCCCAUGUCCUAAGAUCGAUGAAAGCGUCGCGAUGGCUAAGGAAUCAAUCAAUCCGUUCGAAGAUUACAAGAAGUCGAUGAACCAGAUGAUCGAAGAGAGAUAUAUCGAGACUGAAGAUGAUCUUAAGGAGCUUUUAAGGUGUUUCUUGGACAUAAACCCUUCUCCUCAACACAAUCUUAUCGUCCGUGCUUUUGUGGACGUCUGUUCACAGCUACGGCCAGCACACGACCGUCGUGGGAAGUCACUUGGGAGAUUGCUUCGUCUAUAUGUUAACAAUCCUCUUGAUAGUAAUGAUAAUGACACACACCAAACCUCUUCGUUUAAGAUGAGGAACUGAUCCUCAUGUAUCUCUCUCUAUAUAUAUAGAUGAUACAAUAUCGUAAAUAAUUUGAUUUUAUGAUUCGCAUGCAAGAGCAAGACUAUAUGUAAACCAUUAAACAACAACCACAAAAAUCAAGAUUUGCAUGAUGUUUUCCAAUUUCAUUAGAGGAUAAGUGGAUUAUGGUUUACACAAUGUGAAUUAUGAUUACAAAGUUAUACCUCAAACUCAAAGGCAAGCUCAAACAAUAUUUCAGUGCACACAAAGUUUUGAAGAGUAAGAAUAUGUUAAGCAAUAAUUCACAUUUUAAUUAAAAAAAAAAAAAUCACAUUUGAGUUUUUAGGUGUCAAAUACAGUUUUCCUAUUUUAUUCCGUUUCCAUUCGGAUUUUUAAAUUUUAAUUUUGGUUUUGUGUUAGGUUUAAACAGAGUUUUGCACAAAAUGUAAACUUAAAAAGUUAAUUAAAAGUUUCAUUUUGGCCUCAGUUAAUUUAUAAACAAAUAGAAAACCAAAUUGAUUUGUUUCGUUUAUGAUUUUGGUUAAUAAACGAAGAAUGAAUAAAAUAAUUUCGAUUUCCACUGUUUUAAUGAAUAACAAGAAUGAUUAAUUGAGUUCCUCAAAAAACCUCUAAACCAUACAAAACUCCGGCGUGUUUCUCCGCCCCAUCCUCAACGAAAUACAAAUCCCUCAUCCUCUGAAACGCCUGCCACGUCAGCAAACUAUCCGAACCGGCUUGAUGACAUUUCCCAACCGCCCGGUUAACUUCAAGCGACCGAGCAACCCGGUCCAAACCACCGUACAAUCUCCUCUGCUCACAGAACCUCAUAAUAUGUUUCACAUCAUAAACCCUCUCACCGAAGAAAGCUCUAAGCAACCGUAAAAACUCACGCAACGCUACCGGAAGCUCCCGGCGCGUGAGAAUCUUCACAAGGUAACCGAAAUCGUACGCGCUGUGAAACGUCACCCAGCUCACAGACUCGUUACAGAUCAACCCCGAUGACAUCAUCAGCUCCGCGAACCUCCCCGAUUUAACACCUUCGCGACGGUUCCGCUCGAAAUCGAUCCCGUGACGACGGAGCAGCUCGAUGGAAUCAGGAGCGUGUGGAUCACGCUCCACGUCGAAGUCACGGAAAUUGAAUUCCCAGAUGAAUCGACGGUUUUGAACGCCGAGAUCUGGGAGGUUUCCGUCGGCGUCAGAGAGAGUAAGACCGACUUGGAUUAAGCUUAGAGCAUCGACGUUGGAUUUGAGAAGAUUGUAGAGAUAAUUAGGAUUUCCAAGACGGAGAACGGCGAGAUCUGCCUUGAAAAUCACGCCGGGGAAUUCUGUAUCCAUGGAGAUGAAUGGGUAAGCUUCGACGAUUCCGCUGAUUAGUUCAAACUCUGACUCGAGAUUGUCAGCCCAAACGUCACGAAUCACGAUACCAACAUCGGAAUUGAUCAUAGUUUCAAAUCGGAAAUCGAAAGUCCCGAUCUUUUAGGUCUUCUUCUUCUUCUUCUUCGUCGUCGUGUAUUAAAAGUCUCUGUUUUUUUUUUUUCGUGAUGAUUUUGUUAAUCAGCAAGGUUUAGUUAUAUAUAUGUAUAGGUGUAAGUAAGAGUGUGUUACGAGGAAGGAGAGGAGGAGGAGAAGUGUGAGAAACGCGCACGUUUUGAUUCACUGUGUUUCUUGACUCGGUCUAUUGGUCUAAGUUGGCUUCUCCUUUGUAUCCAAUUAUUGCAAUUCAAGUCGUUGUAUUAAACGAAGUACAUUACGCCGACAACGUUACGACUUACGACCAAUGAACUUACCAGGAAUAUUGCUAUAUUACCAAUAAACACACUGAAUAUGUAACGCACUAAAAACGCAUUAAAGGGUUGAUUAAUUAGAUUACGAUAACUACAUAUCUUAUAGUAUCAAAGAUAGUUAGGUGAUAUUUCCUUUUGGGACAAUAUUCGAUUUUUUUAAUUUAUCUCUUUUUUUUUUUUUUAUUGUGCUUUAAAGGUUUUGUAUGCCCAAAAUUCUAGCAACGACCUGCGUUGAGCCCAUUUUAAUCCUUUAGAUUCUCGAAUUUUCAGAAAACAGAGAACACAUCUUCUCUAGUAUUGUCUGCUUGAACAUCGUGUAGGAUCAUAUAUAGUUAAACAUGACUGUUUUUCUUUCAUUUCCUGUGUUUGCAAUAACUUUUUAUUGUUCAAUGUUAAUGAAGAAAUAACUUAUCAAUUCCAAAUGCAGAGACUACAACAUAUUACGAGAGCUAGUGUGAGAGUGGGGCAAGCCACAUAAGAGGGGUAUUAGUGAGAGGGAGAUCAUGGAUUACAUCGGUGGCAAGGUCGUAAACACCGCUAUGAUUAGCUGCAGCAAAGUAAAUGGAAUUAGGCUUUAGGCCUGGGAACAUACUCGCUUGUAAACAAAAGGCUUCAGUACUUUGACCAAGGAAGAUGCAGAGAUCCCCAAUGUCAUACGUGUAACAAUCCUCAUCCUCUCUGUAAACCAUAAACCUCUUUGUUUUUUUCACCACCUCUUCUUUUUUCAAUUGCUUAUGAUGGUCCUUCCAAUGGACCGCCUUUGUACCGUGGGAGAACUGAAUAAACCUGCCUCAACGCAAACCAAGUCAUGCACUUUGUCAAUAAGAAAGAAAGCAAUAAAAGAAAAAAGUUUUGAUUACCACAUGAUGUCAAAAACUUCGCCGGUAGGCGACUCCACCAAGUGUUCAGUGUGGAAACAAGACUCUAGCAGCUCAAACUCCGACCAUAGCAAAUCAGGUAACUUGAGACGGUCAAAUUUGUGGUAAUAAGUCACCUCAGGGAAAUCUUGGUGACCCAGCGGCUUGUACGUGCUAGCAUCAAAUUUUAUGGCAGUGAAGUGAAGCUUGGAGACAAGCCUAAAGGUUGUCAAGUAAAACUUGGAAUCACGAUUGGAGUAGAGGACACUGGAGCAAUCCAAAAGUUUUGAAGAAGUUUCCGUUUUGGUCCAGGCUGAGUCACCAGGCCUACAGAAACACAUCCGACCUCCAAAAAACUUGAUAGCCACAACACAUGAGUCAUCAGGGGAAGAGGAGAGCGACAUGUUGAUAAUGAUAUUAUCAGCACAAUCAGGCUCCAUAGGAGGCAAGGAUAUGACUUUGUGAUUGAACAUGUUGGUGAGAUAGAGGCUUCUAGGAUCAUUAGAAUUAAUGAAACCAACCCACCCUCUAGACGAUCCUAUGUAACGUGAUGGAUACGUCAUCAUCCCCUGGUUAGGUAUUACCAUCUCUUCUUUCCUCGGAUCGUAAAUAUUCAUUGAAGAGCGUCCUCCUGGCAAAGCAACUUUCGUAUUUAACAGGUAUGGAGACGACAGCACCAAUGAGGACAGUAACCGAACCCGCUUCUCUGCUUGAAUCUGUCCCAACAUAAAUGUAAUUUGUGAAACAGCAAGAGAAAACAAAUAAAAAGAAACACUGUACAAAACAAAACCAGAUAGAGAGGGUUUACGAUGGCACCAGCUGAGUUUCUAAGACCAAGUUUCCACAUCCUACAAAGAAAAACCAGAGACAUAUAUUUAGUCUUCUCUUAAGCAUUUCAUCGAACAUGUUGUGUGCGCUUGUAGAAGAGGCCUUCACACUCAAUCAUGAAACACUCAAUUAUUUCAUGAUUUUAUUUCCCAGAAUUUAACUAACAAUAGAGACAAUGAAUUCUAUGUAAAGGUUAGUGACUCAGAAUAAUUGACAGUGACACGCUCAAUUUGCAGCAACUAUUGAAGAACAAGAGUUCAAUCAUCGACCAAGCAGAAAACGAAAACAGAUUUGCACAUUUGGAGAAGAGGAGAGUGAAGAACUAACGUAGGAGAAGCACAAACAAGUUCUGGGGGAGGUGAAUCGUCGUCGUCAAAGUCGCUCACGAAGACUCCAUAGAGAGAUCAAUUAUAGAUGAAUUGUUUCGGAGUUUUGUGACAAGGACAAAAUUGUCUUUUCCUCUUUUAACUGGGCUUUUAAGGUUUUGCAUACCCAAAAUUUUCAAUCUAAUAGCAACAACGAAGCCUGCGUUGAGCCCAUUUUCAUUUUCCUCAAGUCCUUGUUUUCUGUAAAUUUGUUUCUCAAUAGGUUUUCAUCUAAUAGUUUUGUUUUUUUUUUUUUUUUUUUUUUUUUUUUUUUUGUUAAAGAGAAGAUUAUUAGUUGCAAUGGAUUUCAUCUAUAAAUUUUUUUUUUUUUUUAAAUUGGUUUUGGUAUAAUAGUUGUUGUUUUUUCUUUGAUAUUUCCCCACAAAUAAAUACACGUCGAUGGAGGAGUAUAAUUUAUGUAUUAUGAGUAGACCUAAAGCUAGAAAAAGAAAGUUUAUACUAACAUAUAUGAAUGGUUUAAGGUAAAAAAGAGAGAGGAAUAAGAUGUUGGUCACAACUUUGACAAAGAAAAAUGCGAGGAACUUCCUCAUUGUGUUGAACGCCAACACACCUUGUGUGUUGCCAUACUUCACAUAUAUCACAACACACCAUUCUCUCCCCAUCUUCUUCCUUUGCUCCACACUCACACUCAAUUCUCUUAUCCUUCUUUUUAUCAUCAUCUUCAUAACAUUUCAUCACUUCAAUGUUCAUCAUCAUUCCUACAUUCCCUUCUAACACCAAUCCUUUAUUCCAAUUCAUCAUGGCCAUUUCAUCGACCCUUAUGAUCUCUCUUUGACCAUCUGCCAGUGACUCCACCACGACGUCUCUUAGUUCCCAAUAGAUCUCUCUAAACACUCUUUCUGCCUCUCCAUACACUUCACUCAAUGUUGCAUCUUUCUUAACCACUAUGCAUUCUUGUGGAGGAAUUUUAAUCUCGUUAUUAUGAUGAUGACAUUUCCAUGCGAUCGUGCAGAAUAUUCCUAAUUUGUUCCCUCGAUCUAAAUGUAAUGUUUUGGCCGAUGUAUCCCUAAUGUAGUGGUACUCUUUGAUGAAGUACUUAGCAUCGAGGAUUGCUCUAGAAGCCAUUCCGAUUUGGUUCAAUAUGCCUCCUAUGGGGCCUAAAACUCCCUUGUAGUCCAUGAGAAUGUGUUUGUAAAAAUAAAACAUGUCUUUCAUCACUUGACCUCUUGUGAUCUUAUUGUGACCGUUCGUCGCCAUCUUCCCCAUUGAGUUUUGAUUUUGAAGGGUUAUGAGUUCAUUGUUACUACUUGGUAACAAAUUUGAUAUGUCCUCCAAGCAAUACUCUAGCACUUUCUUCACCGGAUUUAGACUACGUCGGACCAAAUAGUUUCCAACCACCUGGUUCCCGAGCGACUUCAACACAAAAUCAAGCAAACCUGUGUCCCCGAUGUAAUUUCUAGCUGCGUCCCUCACUUCUUGCCUCGAUAUCCAUCGGUAUUCGACUCUUUUUAAUGACUCUAUGACCACUUUGAUAGCCAUUUGGAUCCGUUUUUGAGACCAUCUGCAGUUGCUACUAUCAAUGGAAAUGAUUUGGUUUCGGGAGUUAUUCAUGUAGUUAUCUCUUGGAAGACGCGAAUGGAGAUUAAGCAUGAACCUGAAGAGGUCACUGAGAGUUAUCAAUGGCUCAGUGGAUAAACUUUGGUACUUUGACAAGAGGAUUGGAGUUUCUCGGUUAAGGCUGGUUAGGUGAUGGUUAAGCAAGCACAAGGGUAUGUUACGGACCGAUUCAAGUGCCUUCUCGUAAAUCUUUUGAGUCACUCCGUAUGUCCCUGACCCAAACCGGUAGCCCCAACGACCGAACCAUGGCUCUCCUUUUGCUACCCCAUGCAGCAGCCUCAGCUCCAUUCCUUUUUUGUGCGAUGCAUCAUUCAACCCUAUUUUCCUAUAUUAAACAUAAAUAAAAUGACUGAUUAUUUAUGUGUAAAUCCAAAUUAAUAGCUAGGAAAAAUCCAUUAUGAUAUAUGAAAACUAGCAGAAUUGUGUUGAAUGGUUUAUAUGAUAUACAACUAUAUAUAUAGUCUUAGUACCUGGCCUUUAAACCGGUGCAGAGCCGGUCCCACAAAUCCAUGACUUGGUGACCGGUUAUGUCGGAGCCGGUUUCAAUGCCGUUGACAGAGAGCAAGUGACCAAAUCCGUUAGAGUGAAACAAGCCGUGAAGGACAUGGCCUUGAAGGUCAACCAAAUGGGAGAGACUUUCCUUUUCAGGAAAAAUGUAGCCUCCACCUUCCAGUUUUAGAAAGGCGGCCAUCGUUUCCUUUGAGGGGAUCACGAAAUGGUACUUCUUGUUGCAUAUCAUUUGGUUUCCCCAACCUGCAAGUUUCCAUAUAAACCAUUGUAUACUAUAUAUUUUUGAUCUUUAUAUAAAUGCAUCACUUUUAACCAUAUCAAAUUAUUAUUGCUAUUUUUGUUCAUAAGUACGUGUAAGCAUGUAUAGAUAUGCAAAGAAAAAUGCUUACAUGUUGAGCUAGGUCAAUUCUUACUAAAUUUUCAGCUUAUGAUCUUAGUUCAUGUACACAAAUGUAUUCGCAUGCAUAGAUAUGCAAAAGAAAAAUUGUAUACACACAGAGAAAGAAGGGAAAAGAGAGAGAGGACGUCACCAACAUAUUGGCAAUGGUUGCAACGGAGGUUGAGAGAGGCUUCGAUGGGCUCUUCUACUACAAAGAGAAGCACAUAAAGAGGAUUUGGGUGGCGUUGAAUCUCGAGCUGAAAAGACCAACUUCCCAUGAGACCGGAGCUCUCAAAGUGACCAAAAUCAAGUAGUUUCGCGAGGUUGUCACGAAAAGACAACUCGUUCAACUCAGCUGGAUGUCCUGACUCUCCGAACGUCUUCAGCCUGAAAACCCUACUUUCCCCUCUCUUCCUCUUUUUUGGAAUAUGCUGCUGAUGAUCUGUUCGAAUCAGAUUCGCCAUGGAAUCAGAACUUUGGUUUGAUCUUGACAAGAGGGAAUAUGAUAGAUUUGGAUAUAUAUUAUGAUCAGGGGCUUGUUAUAAGAAGAGGCCGAGAAGUGUUGAGGAAGUGUGUGAAGGGUUUAGAGAUAUAGUAGUCAUUAGGAUGAUGGUCACACAAUUAGUGCUUUGUGGUGAAAAGGAAAAGUGAGUGAGAGAAAGAGAAAGGUUAAAUUAAACUCUGAUUUAACAAUUGUUACUAUUGGAUUGGAUGUUAGGUCUUGAUAUGUGCAUGACUUGUAACAUUAACAACUUUUCUUUCUUAGACAUAAUACUUAAUAAAAAAAAACAUUCGAACCUCACUGAUUCCCAAAAUCUAUUUCAUUUUUUAAAAAUACUAGACGAAAGGAAUGAUAAUGCAAUGUCUCUGACAUUUUUAAUUAUACACAUAAGUAUUUGUGUAAAAUGUGUGGAAAUGGCAUGCAAAAAGAUCGAGGGUGAGGAAUGUCACGUGACUUGGGAACAUGAGAUGAUAAUAUAAUAAAAUAAUGAAGACAUGCAUUUGAGCUUCUCACUUUUUUAAAGAAUCAGAUUAACUCUGUGUUCCGUCAAUUUCUGUCAUGAGCUACCUGCACAUAUAUAUAUAUGCAUCUAUUAUAUAACACACACGUGUGUGUUUGCGUGGUUGGACAAACUUAAUUUAGUCGAUUUUUCAAGCUCGUAAAGUUAUGUUUUAAUUAAUAUGUAGUUUACUAGAAUUUAAUCCGCGGUAUACCGCGGAGCUAUAUUUUUUUUAAAAUGUAAUGUUAUUUUUUAAAAGAUUAACUGAAGAUAUAUCAUAUUAAUUUGUAUUUUUAAAUGUAGAUAUCUAUCUAUCAAUUUUUGAAGUAUAGAUACGAAAACAUACAUUUUUUUUAAGUAACGAUGUAUGGUGGAUUUUAAAAUUUUGAAUAUUUUACUCUGCAGUAUACCGUGGGUCGGUUUUUUUAUAAAUAAAAAUUUUAAAUUUAAGUUGGAUUUGUUUUGUUAAUAUUGUUUCUUUUGUUUUGUGUUUAAGAUUGUAUAAUUGUAUUUUGAUUGUUAAUUUUAGGAUUUCAUCCGUGAUAUACCGUUAUUUAUUAAUAUCGACCCAAACCCGUCAUCCCAUAUAAACCCAUCUAUAUUAUCUCGUUAGCUAAAUUAUUAGUAUUAUAAAAUCCAAGAAAAUAAAUUAUUAUUGUUAUAAAAUCUAAUAAUUUUAUGAUCUCACCCGUAGUAUACCGUUCUUUGAACGAUUUUAAAUUUAUACUACUAAUAUAUAUUUUAAAUUUAUCAUAUAAAGUAUAUGAUUUCAAGUUUUUAUGUUUUUUUUUUAUUUAAAUAAAGCAACGACUUAAAUGAUGAUAGAUAUAGUUCUUUUUCCUGUAUGUGUAUUUGAUUUUUCUAUGUGAAUAUUUUGAUUAUUAUAAAUUAGUAUUUUUAUUGCUAUGUAAAAUGUUAAUAUAAAUAUUUGCUAUAAAUGUUUUUGAAGAUAUAUGGAAAGAUUGUGUAGAGAUUUUUAGAAACAAAUUAGGCAAGAUAUUGUUUGGUUAAUAUCUUUUAUUUAAAUUUUGUAAAAGUAAUAGUAAAUGCCAAUGACAUUCUUUGUAAAUACUGCCCAACCCCAGAAUUUAUUUGCUAAAAGUGUUCCAAAAAUGUAUAUAUAGAUAGUUCAUCAAUACUAUAGUUUUAGAGACUUACAUAUUCAUCUACGGUAUGCUUUGUAUAUUGCUUCCAUGGGUGGUGGAUCUUGACCUGGAUGUGCCACUUUGUUUUGAAAUGUCGUUGUGGUAUAUGAAUCCAACAACCAUUUUUUGCUUUUUUGUCUUUUGUGAGCAAUUUUUUUGGAGUAACUUUAGGUUAUUUAGAAUGAUAAAAAUGAAAUGCUCUAUAUAUAAUAAAAAAAGGUCGGCUUAUGCAUUGUUAUUUUUUUUAAGUUAGAAAAGAAUACAUCAAUAUUUAGUUUAUGUUUAGGAAUAUGCUCUCAUAAAUUCAAAUAUCUCAAUUUAAUCUUCAAUUUAAUGUAUAAAAAAUUUUAAAUCAGCAUUCCGUAAUUUUGUUAUUUGAUAGGAUUACAUUCCAUAUUUUGUAGUUAUGUUUAAAUUGUAUUUGCUAAAAUAUCGAAAGAUUGCAAUCUUACCAAAUAUAUUCCUAUAACUAUGAAUUUUUUUUUUCCCGGAAAUUUAGUUUAGUAUUAAAAUCAUAUUAGAAAUAUAGAAUAUGGAUUUUGUUAUGUAUUUUGUUAUUUAAUUUUAAAUCAUGAUGGGAACAAUUUUAAUUCAUAUGUUUUCCAAAAUAAUUUAACUUAACUCAUAUUUCUAGGUGAUCUGGAAAUAUAUUAGUUAGAUUAAAUUAGUUAGACAAUAGUUAGUAAAAAGUAUAUUCUAGAUUAGUAGGAAUCUAGAAUCAUAACAUAUAUAACAAAAAGAUUUGAAAAUAUAUUUUAAAGGAUUUUUAGGAAACUGACUUACAGAUUAUAUCCAUGCGUGAUUAAGCAAAACAAAAUUUUAAAUUAUAAGAAACAUAAUAUAACAAACGAAAUCAAUAAUUGAUGAUAAAAGAUUUUAAGGAAACUGAAAAUAUUCUCAAAGAUUACGAAUUGAAGUAAUACACCAAUUCGAAUAAUACCUUUUGUUUAGAUAUAAUUCGAAUAAUAUACCUUUUGCUUAACUCUAUACGUGAAUAAUAACUUUUUUUUUUAUAUAAAUUUGAAUUAUAUAACAUUUUCAAUGAUAUAUCAUUUUCAAUUUUCAAUAACAUUUUCAAUUUUCAAUAAUAUUUUCAAUAACAUUUUCGAAUAAUGGAUUAGUAUAUAACAUUUUCAAUAACAUUUUCGAACUAUAUGAUUACUAUAAUUAAAAAUAAUAUUUUCUUUAUAAAUUCGAAUUAUAUAAAAAAAAAAUCAAUGAUAUAUCAUUUUCAAUAACAUUUUCGAAUAAUGGAUUAGUAUAUAACAUUUUUGAAUAAUUUAUUAAUAACUUAGGACGUUAAUAUAUGAUUACUAUAACUCAAAAUAACAUUUUCUUUAUAAAUUCGAAUUACAUAUAAACAAAAUUUUUUAAUAUCUUUAAACCCGUUUGACCCGUUGACCCGUUAAUAUAUAUUAGUGACAUGAAAUAAAAUGAUUAUGAUUAGAAUUAUCUAAUGGCAUAUAUUGUAAUUUCUUACAAAAUCAACGUUAUGAUCCUUAGAAUGUACUUCCCAAAUAUUAGUAUAGGAUUGAUUUGUGAUAGUGUCGAGCGAUGAUUUGCCACCACUUUUGUCACACCCACAAAAUUAUAGUUAACUAAAAACAUUAAUUGAGUGAUAGGUGGCAUAUAUAUGAUUAUUGAUUAAUGCAUUUUGUUAUUAUAUCUUGAAUGUUUACAUCAAGAGAUGUUUUAAGCGGGUUAAAGAAAGUUUCAAAUUAUGUUAUCCGAAAGAAGUAUUUUGAAAUGGUAUUAUAUAAUAUCACAUUCAAAGUUCUACUUGCACCUUAAUGAUCGCAGUGAUCACAACAAUUUUGGGUAGUUCUAGUCACUUAGUGCUUCAAAUAUUUGUUUUUUAGUGUUUCAAGUAAAAAAAAAAGCUAAGAGCUCAGACCAAUUAAAUUUUAAUAUGUUUACAUUAAUUAAUGAUAUGCCUUGUUAAUUACAGAUACUAACAAUAUUUGAGUUUGAAUCAUUAUUAAGCAUAUCUAGCUAAAACGUUGACCUACUAUUACUUGUUUAGUGUUUAAACUUUGGCAGCCACUAAUAGAUGAUAGGCAGGGCCGGCCCAAACUAUUUGAGUGCCUAAAGUAAAAAUUUUUUUGGCCCAUUAACAAAAGCUGUUAUAAAAAAAAAAUACAAAUUUCAACAUGUAUGGGAUUCGAAACCAUGAUCUGUACAACAAAAGACUUCAAUCUAACCACUAGACCACAGUAACAUUUUAAAAAUUGAUGUCUUUAAAACUACUUAUAAUUAUUUGAUGCCUAAAGCCCUUGCUUCAUGGGCUUUACCCAUGGGCCGGCCCUGAUGAUAGGUAGAGAAGAGUAGACUAAUAAUUGUUGAUAGUUUAAUUUGUAUCAUUUUUGUUUCAUGAUUCUUAGUAAUUAACAACGACCAGCGAGGCAGCGAUAUGAAUUAGCGAUACGUUUUAUUGUUCGUUGUAUAGUAGUAGCCAACAGGUGACUUUUAUUCGUUUUAUAGUUGGUUGAAUGAUAGAUCAUCAUCACCAAAUUUUUUUGAAGUAUUUUGGUUUUGGUUUUCCAAUUGAAAUUGCCAGUAAGGGUAAAUAUAUAAUGAUAAAAAUGUGAGAAAUCUACUUAAACGUUACGUGUUCUUUCUUUUGAUAGUUGGGGAAAGGAACAAAACACACUUAAUGUUGAAUCCGACAUUAAUGUGAAACCAACAUGCAUUUUUUUUAGUAAGUUUAGGUGAAGAUUUUUCACAUUUAUAAUAAGCAUAACUCUUUUUCAUGUUUUUAUAAACAUUUAAUUUGUUAGUUCAACAACUUUGGUAACAAGUAAACCAAACCUAUUUAUUGUUUGAUGUAUGAUGUGUAUAUAUAUAUGUACAUACUUCGCAUUUAGCGCUAGAAUUACUUAGUGCAAAAAAAGGAAAAGGAAAAAAAGUCAUUGUUCCACAUUUUUCAUAUUAAAAACAUAAUUAAUUGUGCCAUGUACAUAUACAUUGAACUUACAGCAAGUCAACAACGACCAUUUUCCAUUUAUAAAAUUAAAUAUCGCAAUAAUCAAGAAAUAUCUAGCAUCCUAUAAACCGAAUACGAUAACUUUUAGAUGAGGACACAAUGACACCUCCAUAAUUAUAAUAGCUACUAAUCCACCGCUAAUGAUUGAUUAAAGUAGUCUAUUAAUUUGUAAUUACCCCGUUGCAAAGUAUAUUAAUGGCUUAAUUUUCUACAAGAACUUAUAUUCAUUGCUAACCAGUCAAUAUUACAAAUGAAGUUAAAGAUGUUUUAUAAUACAAAAGAUAUAUAUUUCAAUUUAUGAACAUAUCCGUUCAUCGUAGAUUAAUUCAAACUAUCAAUAAAUGUGGCAACAAAUUUUUUUUUAAAAAAAGAAAGAAAGGAAAAGAACAUUCUUAAUUUGUUUUGUUUUGUUUUUUUUCUUAAUUAGUGUUCUUCUUGCUAUGGUUUCCUGUGAGAAAAUCAAGCAAAACAUGGCUGUUGCAUCUAGGGCAUCUAGGGUCACUUUCUAAAGAGAUGAUGAUGUACAUGAUGCAAUUAGGGCAACCAACGACCACCAUUGAUUUAGCUUCUCCUCCUCCACCCUCAGCUUCCUCCGAGCAUAACGAUGACGAUGAACUCUCAGUGAGCAAAGAUGAAUCCAACGAUGGUGAAAUAUUUAGUUUCAGAUCAAGUUCAAGGUUACUCGCAGCUUCUUGAUUCAUGUUCCUUGCCUUCCAAGAAGAGUACUAUGUAUGUUGAUAUAUUAUUCUACAAGAAAAUCAGAAUAUGAAACACAAUAAAACAAAAAUUUAGAUGGAGAUCGAUGGUUUAUAAAACAUGUAUAUAUAUAAAAAGAAUUGAUCAAUUGAAUACUUAUUUUUUCUAUCGAUCAAUCAAAGACUAACAAUAUUUGAAUAUAGAUGAAACAAAAGUUUUUCGAUGAGAACAAAUUAACUUGGAUCUCGGGUUCCAAAUUAGCUUACCUUGGUAAAGACUAGUAGUCUACAAUUGUUCUUGUUCUUGUUUCUUGAGAUUUAAAGAGAGAUAGUUUGAUGUCUUCAUGUUAGUGGCUGUUAUAUAUAUAUAGACAGAAGAGAAGAUACACGCAAGAUGAGAGAGGGUCUCAUUGAAUGUAAUCAUGUAUAUUAAUUAAUUAGUAGGAUUAGUUUCAUCUAGCUUUCAUAGUAUUAAAUAUUCUUGUAGAAAAUAAUUUAAAAUGAGGUGUUUGAAGCAAUAAAUGUAAUUUGAAAAUAAUAUGCAGAAGAUUGAGUAUAUGACUUGAGCUUUGAAAUUACAUUUAUUACCAAAUAGUAUUUGGAUAAAUACAAACGAGAUAUUUUGUCCUUAUUCAUAAAUCAUCAAUUUUUUAUUAUGAAAAUUGAAAUUCAAAUCGAGAGAGAAGUAGACAAUGCGUUUGUUUCAAACUUGUAAGGUUGUAAUGUACCAGUUAACUCGGUGUUGACAAAAAAAAAAAAUUGUAGUUUAAUGUGUAGUUGAUAUUAUUAGAUUUCGAAAGUCUUAUAUGAUAAUAAUUUUUAAUAACAAUUUAGUAGCAUCGAAAAAUUAUUGUUGAAAAAUUGGUGAAUAUGAAUUUUGGAUAGCUAGACGGCUAGACGCACGGCCAACAAAUGAAUGGCUUUUGACUGUUAAGGUUAUUGACUUUAGAAAGCGAAAUAAAAAUGGAAGAAUAUUAAAUGAGUAUGUGAAAAUUUCUUGGGAGAUUUGGUUUUAUUUGACUUAGAACAAAUAUGUAGUUGUGGUUGGUGUCUAAUAAGAGAUUUAUUUAGGCUCUGACUAGUGAUGAAAUCAUGGAAAGAAUAUGACAUAAGCUUGCUUUUGUCAUCUUAGACUUUCGUUAGGCUCAUCAGUCAAAGUAAAAUCUAACAUCACAACCAAAGUUUGACUAGAAGAAGACAUCGAUUAUGUUAUAUAUUCAUGUGUUUUUUUUUUUUUUGUUAGAUAAAUGAUAGAAUCAACCAUAAGUAACUACAGAUAUUACAAGUACCCUAAUUCUCAAUUUUACUACAAGUUAAAUAUCUCAAUCUUACUCAUGAACAAAGUAAUUCAUCCUUCUAAUCAAAUCAUCAGCAACGUUUUAACACAACAAAAGUAAAUUACAACAGUUUUUACGUACCAUUUGUGUUAUUUAUUAGAGCUGUUGUAAUAACGGAGGAAAUAUUAGUCUUCCACGAUGUGUUUCCUCUCGAGCUCAAUAAACUGUUUGUUUAGAUGGGAGGUUUCAGUGGCGUUUCGUGUCUCGUUCUCUCCUUUGCAUCGCUGUAACUGCAUUUGAAGACUUCGUACAAGGUCGUUUAGCCUCUGGAUAUGUCUCUCUUGUGACAAGAUGAUCUGUGAAGAUUGACAAAAUAAGAAAAAGAAAAGCACUGUUAGAACUUAGAAUUGACAGGUCUUCUUCUAUUUUGAGGUUCAAAAAUUAUGCUGAAACUAUGAUGAUUGUCAUACAUCCAAUGGAACUUUAAGGUUGCAAGACAAAUAAGUCUUCUUUUUAUACAAAUUUUCUCCACUAACCUCAUCUAUUUGAUGCAACCAGGGAAAACACAACAGAAGGCAAAAAAACAACCAAUAUUUCUAUGCAACAUUAAAAAGUCAGAUCAGUCAUUGAUGGAUUCCAGAGACAUUCUCAAAAAGAAGAAGCUAGAGAAAUGUAAUCCAGUUACAAAAAAGCAUUUCAAUGCCGAGAAUUAAGCCAGAAACAAAAACAACCAAUGUAUCGAUCAAAAAAAGGCCCGGGAUUCAGAUACAUGAAUCUUUAGCAUCAGAACAUUACAAGUUAACUGACUCAAUCCAACUAUGCAUAAAUCUCUUCAACAGUUUAACUAAUCUAUAAGUCACAAUCCCAAAACCAAUUCAGGUCUUUCUCAUACAACUGAACACACAAAAUUACCAUGAAAAGAGUGAAUAAGAGUCAGUACCUUCUCCUUGACAGCUUCUUCCCUCUUAGCAAUCUGCUGAUGUUUCUGAGACAAGCUAGGAGCUGCAUCAAGCUCAAGAAGUGGUUGCCUCCAUUCAAACUGAGAAGUGACUAUAAGUAUAACCAGAAGAAAGACGAGCAUGAUCGGCCUCGACAUUUUUCUAUCUAGCUCCUACAAAACCUGUUCCAAAUUCACAAUAUCCAUUUCUUCAUACCAUCCAACAAAAAUGCAUCCAAGAGCACGCCUAAUCGAAAUUGAGACACAUAUCGAAAAUGUGACAAAAAAUUCACCUACUCAGUUAAAAUUUCCUAAACACAAACCAAAAGUAGAACAAUAUAAUCAGUGUAAGCUACUACUAUUAAAAGCAAAAUCCAUUAAUGACCUAGAUUUUCAACACGAAUCUCCUUCAUAUCUAAACUACUACAGAAGAUUGAAUUUCCUCAGCACCACAAACAAAAUUGAAGCAUCAAUGAAGAAGAUAAAGAUAUCUCCAACUUACAGAUCGAAGUUGCACAGUGAAAUCAAACUUCAUUAUCGAAUCAUCAGCUUUUCUAGGGCUUCUUAAAUUGAAGAAACUGAUCGAGAAGAUCUUUCGAUAAAAUCGGCUUAACGGAGUAGUGAGGCGACUUGUCUUCUACCAAAAAAAUGGAUUUCUCGUAUAGAAGAAGAGAGAAAGAAACGCAAAGCAGAGGUUUAAUGGCGGCUAGAUAAAAAUCUACAGCCAUCUGGACGAGAAAGAUAAACAGUACGGAUUUGGAAAAUAGUAAUUUACUAAAUUGCCCCCAUCCUUUUUAUCCAUUCUCAUUAAACACAAACUUAAGCUCCUAUCAUCCUAUGUGAUUAGUAUUAUUUAACAAUUAUAUCCACAAAACUGGAUUUGUUAACAAUAUAACUUUCUUCUGUGGUCUAGUUGAGUACAAGUUUGUAAUUCACUUUUGAUGAUCGGUUUGGUUGCACAGAUUUGAAGUACAAGUGUAGAACAUUAAACACAAAAAACGUAUAAACCUCUUACACGAAAACAUCAUAUAUAUUUUUGUCCCAGAAGAUGCAAACAUAGGACUCAGGAGGACACUGGUUUCUUCUACUUCCAUAAACAUUAUUCUUCUAGAUAAAACAACAUUGCUAUCAGAGCUACUAAACAUAUAAUAACAUUCCAUCGUGCUCGGUUCACUGACUUGAUCGAGUAUAAACCCACGAAGCAGUUCGACAAUGAUUCCAUGGUAUCUGUUCCUUCCAUCUUUUGUGAUGGUCUUUCCUCUAACAGUGAUGACAUUUGUUUGUCUAUCAUGUUUGGUAAGGGAAGUACCCUUAUCUCCAUUGAUGCUGAUUCUAGUGUUGGGAUUUCGUCUCGUGUGUUCCCCCUCAUCACCGCUUCAUCAAGAUUGAUGAUUUCGUCUCUUAGGAUAUCCGCAAAGAAAUCCUCGUCAUUAUGCACCUAAACACACAGAAGAAUCAUUAACAACAAGGACAAUCAAGAACCAUCAUCCAAAUUUGUUUCGAUCCCCUAGACAUAAAAUAAACAAAGACGAAGGGGACAACAAACCUGUAGAUUUUCUGAUGAUUGUGCCAUCUCCCAGAGCAGUUUCUCCCCUGAUUCACCUGCUAGGUAAAAAUCAACCAAGUUGUCCCAAUCAGACGGGCUCCCUGAACUAGUAGCACCAUUUUGCAAGAUGGCGUGCUUCUCGGGUGCUAAUUUUGGCUCGGGUGCCUUCUGACUCAUACCACUUUGAUAUUCUUUGUUCCUCUUAACCCGGCAAACAACCAUAGCAUCAUCCUAGAAUUUACAGAAGAUCAUUAAUCAAUCAACUCAAGCGAAAGACCAAAAUCCUAAACUGUUACCGUAUUCCUCUGCUAUAAUGAAGUAUAUGAUUAACUUUCCUCCCAAAGUAACCAGCGUAGCUCAAGUAUUCGUGCAUAAUCUUAAGACAAAACAAAACUCUAAAGAACAGUUUACCAGAGAAACUCCUUUCAUGCAGUACUCGUGCAUAAUCCAGUCAGUUCUUUCACCUUUUGGUGCACGACCAAUAUGGAAAACAAGCGUCCUCUUUGUUCCAAUGACCUCAGAACCAGACUUCACAUCACGCUCUUUCCCAGUUGCUUUCCAAUAUCCCAUCUUCGUUGCUCUCCUGUUCUGUGACCCAUGUGGAUACUUUUUCCCACGGGCACAGAAGAAGAACCACUCGCUAUCAGAUUUCACAAUCGACUUAUCUACAAAGAACAAAAUUUGUCAAUUCACAGAGCCAAAAAAAAAUAGAAACUUUACAUAAGAGAAGAUGUUUUGGAGCAAAGGCAACAGUUCCUCAAUUGUCAAAAGACUCAAAGGUAUGAACUUUAAACAACGAGAUCCAAAAAUAAGAAAUUCUCCUGAAGCAGAGUAGAAGAAAGACAAACCGGGCAAAUCCCAAGGCUCGAAAUUGUAAAUCUCAGCGUCCGGUAUAACCUCAACGGACCUCUCCAAGCCAUCCAUCUUCCGCUUCAAGUAAUACGAAAUCAGCUCAACAUCAGUCGGCGAAAACUUAAACCCAGGAAACACCAUCGACGCUUCUACUGACGCCGCCGUAGCCUCCAUGAAGGCUCGCGCGUACACAACACUCGCGCGUAAGAAAUGAGUCACCGCCAAAGAGUAAAAUCUGGGAAUUGCCGAUAUCAAACUGAAUUUUCGUGUCAGUGUGUCUCUUCUCACUCACUUAGCUUUUGAUUUGUAAUUGGAACACUUCACAGGUGCGUGCACACAUAUGGGUUUUUGCAUACGUGUUACGCAGGCAUUGCUUAAUAUACGGUGAAUGCCACAUCACCAAACCUAGUAAAUUUAUAGGCUUUAUUCCAUUUUUUUUUUGUCGGCCAACAUAUUUAUUAAAAAGCCCAAAGGACAAUACAUGUGAUGAAAAUACAGAAGCCCAAAUUCCUCCUUUUAAAACCUUAAUUUAAAAUUAACAUCGCUUAAUCUAAUCUAAAAAGAUAAGAUUAAGAAGGAAAAGUGCCACGUGUUACAAGAUGAUAGAUGCAGAACACACGAGAAGGAGAGAACAGUCGGUGCUCGAGAUCCACGAUCUGCUUCAGAUCCGACGAUAGGCUUCAAUAAUCCAUCACCAAAUCUCUUCUACAGAUAUCGCUGAUGCAAAAUAGAUGAAACCCACCACUUCCGCCUUGAACUUCUCAACUCAAAACUCGUAGAGGAGGCUCCGUCUUGAGACCUAACAAGGUCAACUUCAUAAGAAGCAUGUCGACGAAGAUAUUAUUCCAACUUAGAGAAAGGAGUUAAGCAGACGGGUACAUCGAAGGAGAUCUAUUAAUUGCAAUCAGGAUCAAAAUAAAACCAGUAGAAAAGAUAACAAAAACCAAACUAAAGACAGAACUGAGAAAGAGAGAAAUAUAAAUCCGAUCAAAUCGGAAAACAAAAAACUACGUCGGGGAAGAUAGCCGACGCAAGAACAGAGAUUUAAACCAAAAGACUACUCCGAUCAAAGAUCGGAAAGCAAAAGAGAAUAUCUAACUUUCUGUCUCUGAAAGGUUCGAGAGAGUUAAGAGAGAGAAAGCUAGUGUUGAUGUAAGAUGUGUGGGCCUUUAGGCUUUAUUUCAUUUACACCCUUAAUGUUUUGACGUAAUCUUAUUUUAAGACCUUUAGUUUACUUUUAUAAGAGAAAGCCCAUAAUAAUAGACAAAGACGAAAAAAACAAAAAAAACUGUGUGAAAAAGGUUAAACAAAUUAUGAUGAAGUGACUGAAAUAAAGCAAACUUUACAAAGAAAAUUGUUUAUUUUUGUGAAGGUAACUUAAAAACACAAAGGGGAGUAGGGGACACUUAAUCCUCUUUCGUCAAAAUCGCAGCCGUCGAGGGUCACAAAAAACCGAUUCUUAGAUCCGCCUCUCCGGUGGUCGGUGCUUCUCACCGGCACCGCGAGAGGGCUCUUAUUGUUGUUCCUUUGCUUUGUUCUUAGUCUUGUUGGUGUUUCCUUUGGUGAAACCUUGGCGAUUGGAGUGGCGGUUUUGUUGCGGCGUGGGUCUUUGGUGAUUGCAAAGGUGGAUUUUGCAAGGAUUGGCGGAUUCUCUAUGCUUUAAAGGUGUUGGCUCUGGUUAGUGUUGUCGGGUGAUGGUGGAUCUGGUAAGUGACGAGAGCUUGUGGUUGUUGGAAGUUUCUGUCCCCUUGGUUCUUUUGGGGCUGUGGUGGUGUUGGCCUUUGCCGGGUGGGCUGCUCCUCUCGUUGGUUUCUCGCAUGGUUGCACUUGGUGUAGUCUUUGUAUUUUGUGUUGAUGGCUUAAUCGUUGCCUCUGGUCUCUUGCUUGUGGCUUUAAGGUUGUAUAAUCGUUAGUUUAGGUAGCUUAAGGGGUUGUGUAGGUUAGUUUAGGCUCUGAUUCUACGGAUAAUCCGGGAUUUUGGUAUGGCUACCUCGUUCUCCUUCCUCUCUUGCUGCCCGAAGCUUUGGUCUGAGCUUGCUAGAGCUCUCUUGUUUUUGUGUCUUGCUGAGCUUGCUUUUGUCCUUUGAUGAGCUUUAUUGUGAUCUCUCCGGUUCGAUCGUAUGCUUUUCUCCUUUUGAGUUUAGUGUUUGCCGGUUAGAGGUUUGUUUCGCUCCUUGUCUCUACACUCAAGACCUGAUCGAGGUCUGGUCAGUUCAUGUCUUCUAACGAGGCGAUUAAAGGUCGUGGUUUGCGACAAAUGCCGCUUCCGAAAGAUUUGUGGGAUUUGGUCUCUUUGUCUCGCGUCUUUCUUGUCGGAAUAGAAGUCUAGGUUCAUUCGAUUUGAGAGGUACCUUGGCUACGCAAUAGGAGGUUUCGUUGACUGCAAGAUGGACACGUGUUGUCCUUUGUGGCUGGCUUGGUUCACAUUUGUGUGGGAGUAAGAUUGGCAAGUUCGUUUUCUUUCGAGCUUUUGUUUAAGUUUUUGACUGUUGUUUCGUUUUUGUGGAUUGUAUUCUCCACGUGUUCAACUGGUUCCCUCUUUUGGGCUUUCGCUUCCCUCUUUUGGGAUUUAAGUUUCCGGGGAUUUCUAGUGUUUCCGCCGGCUUAUGUAUUUCAACAAUGUAUCCUUCUUUGUGAUAUUAAUAAAAACAGACGACAAAAAAAAAAGAGUAGGGGACACUUGUGACCAAAUACAAGACUUGUGGAAGACAUGACAGCAAGGCAAUGUGAUUGCUUCUUCUCCAAGAAAUAUCUCCCCAACGCAAAUCAUACACGGAUUAAGCCGAUCCAUGUCUGAUCUAAGCACCUUAAAACGCUCUAACCCGAAAAUCGUAGAUCUAUAUGUUGGUACCGUAGAGCUGCUCGAAGAAAUCUCCAUCUGAACCGUCUUUAUCAUUGCCUGGUUAGCUCUUCUAGACACAUCAUAGGGAUGCAUACAAUGAGUGAAACCCAUCUCCGAUAUUACUUCUCUGAUUUGUUUUUCCACUCUUUUCUUGAUCAGAUCCGAGAUUUUACUCUCAAUCAAUCGCUCACAUUGUAUGUCCCUAUAAAUCUUGUUCAGGGACUCGUAAUCAUCAGGCGUUACCUCAAGGUUUCUGUUGAUUUGAUACUUAAGAGUCAACCACAUAUCAUAACAAGAAAACUCAUCCUUCUUGAUGGUUUUCAACUAGUCCAUAAGACUUUCGAUAUCUCCAGGUUUAUUCAACAACUUAUGUUCAAGAUCGUGGGACAAGAAAGGCGAAUUCUCGCAAAUCUCCCUCCGUAAAACCUCGUACGCCUUCCAAGUAGUAAAAUCUGUGGACUCUGUUUCUGUGUCAAGGUACGAACAGGGAAAACAAAAUCUGUGAGUGGACUUUCUUGUUGUUUCCCUCGUGGAUUUAGGGAUGUAGAUAGCGACCAAGUUAUACUCAACCUAUAUAAAGAAUUGAGCAUACGAGAGAGUCUUCUCGCAGUCAUCAACACCAUUCUGUUUCGAAUGUGAUUUCAUCAAAACAGUUUGGUAAUACGUUUCGAGGGGAGGAAGUCUUAACCAAGGGCCAUAGACGUUUGUUCUUGACGUGUCGUUCAAGGCACGUUCCUUAGGAAACCUAACCUGAUCGCAAUUGCUUUUCACGUGACCAACCAUGCCACAGUUGUAGCAAAAAUCACCUAAGUUUCUAUAUUUAAACUCCACGAACCGGUUUUGGUUUUCGCCUAUGUAGAAUCCUUGUUUGAGUGGCUUAUUGAGAUAAAUUUCCAUUAGGAAACAGACAAUAUUGUUUCUUAUUGUUGAACUUAUGUUGUCUCAGGAAUAUAGAUGCAGAUCACAAUACGUACAUACAAACACGUACACUUUAUUAAAUGAGUAACCAGAAGAGAACUGAAACUGAAAUACGUACACAAGUAUGUACACCGUCGAUCUCUUCUCUGCUUUAACGUAAGAACAACGUAUAGAUUGAUUGAGGCUUGCAAUAAGCAAUCUCCUAAGACAGAAUUUUGCCCCUACGAUGGUGUUAGUAGCUUUCUGUGGGCGUUUAUCUUGCAGGAUACAACAAUCGAUCUCUGUAUUCACACCUAUACAGAGACCCUAGCAAACCUACUUUGAGAUUCUCAGAAACUAAUUUGGAAA